UUCCUGUCCAACGUUAAUCGGGGCAGGGUGAGUCGACCCCUAAGGCGAGGCCGAAAGGCGUAGUCGAUGGGAAACGGGUUAAUAUUCCCGUACUUGGUGUUACUGCGAAGGGGGGACGGAGAAGGCUAUGUUGGCCGGGCGACGGUUGUCCCGGUUUAAGCGUGUAGGUAUGUGUUCCAGGUAAAUCCGGUUCACUUUAACACUGAGGCGUGACGACGAGGCACUACGGUGCUGAAGCAACAAAUGCCCUGCUUCCAGGAAAAGCCUCUAAGCAUCAGGUAACAUCAAAUCGUACCCCAAACCGACACAGGUGGUCAGGUAGAGAAUACCAAGGCGCUUGAGAGAACUCGGGUGAAGGAACUAGGCAAAAUGGUGCCGUAACUUCGGGAGAAGGCACGCUGACACGUAGGUGAAGUGAUUUACUCACGGAGCUGAAGUCAGCCGAAGAUACCAGCUGGCUGCAACUGUUUAUUAAAAACACAGCACUGUGCAAACACGAAAGUGGACGUAUACGGUGUGACGCCUGCCCGGUGCCGGAAGGUUAAUUGAUGGGGUCAGCGCAAGCGAAGCUCCUGAUCGAAGCCCCGGUAAACGGCGGCCGUAACUAUAACGGUCCUAAGGUAGCGAAAUUCCUUGUCGGGUAAGUUCCGACCUGCACGAAUGGCGUAAUGAUGGCCAGGCUGUCUCCACCCGAGACUCAGUGAAAUUGAACUCGCUGUGAAGAUGCAGUGUACCCGCGGCAAGACGGAAAGACCCCGUGAACCUUUACUAUAGCUUGACACUGAACAUUGAGCCUUGAUGUGUAGGAUAGGUGGGAGGCUUUGAAGUGUGGACGCCAGUCUGCAUGGAGCCGACCUUGAAAUACCACCCUUUAAUGUUUGAUGUUCUAACGUGGACCCGUGAUCCGGGUUGCGGACAGUGUCUGGUGGGUAGUUUGACUGGGGCGGUCUCCUCCUAAAGAGUAACGGAGGAGCACGAAGGUUGGCUAAUCCUGGUCGGACAUCAGGAGGUUAGUGCAAUGGCAUAAGCCAGCUUGACUGCGAGCGUGACGGCGCGAGCAGGUGCGAAAGCAGGUCAUAGUGAUCCGGUGGUUCUGAAUGGAAGGGCCAUCGCUCAACGGAUAAAAGGUACUCCGGGGAUAACAGGCUGAUACCGCCCAAGAGUUCAUAUCGACGGCGGUGUUUGGCACCUCGAUGUCGGCUCAUCACAUCCUGGGGCUGAAGUAGGUCCCAAGGGUAUGGCUGUUCGCCAUUUAAAGUGGUACGCGAGCUGGGUUUAGAACGUCGUGAGACAGUUCGGUCCCUAUCUGCCGUGGGCGCUGGAGAACUGAGGGGGGCUGCUCCUAGUACGAGAGGACCGGAGUGGACGCAUCACUGGUGUUCGGGUUGUCAUGCCAAUGGCACUGCCCGGUAGCUAAAUGCGGAAGAGAUAAGUGCUGAAAGCAUCUAAGCACGAAACUUGCCCCGAGAUGAGUUCUCCCUGAGACUUUAGGUCUCCUGAAGGAACGUUGAAGACGACGACGUUGAUAGGCCGGGUGUGUAAGCGCAGCGAUGCGUUGAGCUAACCGGUACUAAUGAACCGUGAGGCUUAACCUU
rnacentral:rRNA from 1 species